rnacentral:snoRNA from 2 species
AAGACUAUACUUUCAGGGAUCAUUUCUAUAGUUUGCUACUAAUUGCUCAACAAAUAUUUUGUAAUAAUAAGAAAAU